GAUGAACGCUGGCGGCGUGCCUAAUACAUGCGAGUCGAGCGAACGGACGAGAAGCUUGCUUCUCUGAUGUUAGCGGCGGACGGGUGAGUAACACGUGGAUAACCUACCUAUAAGACUGGGAUAACUUCGGGAAACCGGAGCUAAUACCGGAUAAUAUUUUGAACCGCAUGGUUCAAAAGUGAAAGACGGUCUUGCUGUCACUUAUAGAUGGAUCCGCGCUGCAUUAGCUAGUUGGUAAGGUAACGGCUUACCAAGGCAACGAUGCAUAGCCGACCUGAGAGGGGGACCGGACACGCUGGAACUGGGACACGGGCCAGGCUCCUACGGGGGGCAGCAGUAGGGAAUCUUGCGCGAUGGGCGAAGGGCAGACGGAGCAACGCCGCAUGAGUGAUGAAGGUCUUCGGAUGUGAAAACUCAGUUAUUAGGGAAGAACAUAUGUGUAAGUAACUGUGCACAUCAUGACGGUACCUAGUCAGAAAGCCACGGCUAACUACGUG
rnacentral:rRNA from 1 species